GAAGUUGGCGGCGAAGUUAUUCCCUUAUGAUAACGUGACUGGCCUUCCUCCCUCGCGGUGAAUUCGCUCCGGAUAGACACCAUUAAGAGUCAUGUCUAUUUUAUGUGAUUUCGUGGGAUUUAGCCGCUGUAAAGACACGCCAUGCAGAUCAAAGAGAAGUACAUCCGAUGGCAGGCCGGACCCUAGCUAUCUCUCCUUCGGGGGCCAAGUUGUGAUUUGCUUGGCAGGAGCCGUGGUGCGGAACACUGGAGGCUGAGUGUGACGCUCCUUGUUGGCCGCUAUGAUGAUGAUGUGGUUUGGCUACUACCAGCUGAGAGGCCACAGCAUGCUGUCCUGAAGACCGGCCAGCAACCCGGACUCUAGAGCAGUGGUUUGCAUUGGUUGGUGUAGCAGUGCCGGGAGGUGCCAUAACACUCCCCUCAACAACAGUCUCUUCACCGACAAGUAAUUCUUCACCAACAAGCUUUUCAGCAGCUUGGAGAAAUAGAGACAAGAGGAGAAGAGGAAGAAGAAGAAGAGGAAGAGGAAGAUGACUUUGAAGACCAGCAGACAGACAGAAAGACAUUGGUUGGUGUAGCAGUGCCGGGAGGUGCCAUAACACUCCCCUCAACAACAGUCUUCACCGACAAGUAAUUCUUCACCAACAAGCUUUUCAGCAGCUUGGAGAAAUAGAGACAAGAGGAGAAGAGGAAGAAGAAGAAGAGGAAGAGGAAGAUGACUUUGAAGACCAGCAGACAGACAGAAAGACAUUGGUGAGUGUUGAAUCAUUCUUUCCAUAAUACUCUCUCUCCUUCCUUUCUUCUUGUCUCUUGGAUAGGUUAGGAUCAAAGGCCAGAUUAUUGAACCUCCUCACUCAAGUUCACAUAUUUGAGGAUAUGGUACAGGGCACGCAAGGUUGCAGUAUACUGGUGUUGAAGGGUUAACUGUCCUUUGACGUUAAGUUGAAGACUGUAUGACCAUUGGCAGAACAAGUACAGAACAUUGAAGUAGGAUCACUGGGAGCACAUUUUUAUAUACAGUUUUCCACCCAAAAUAGACUUUCCUUCUAUGAUUUAGCAGGCCAGUGGGGGGUCCCUUUUAACCUUUGUAUCUCAAAAACUAUUCAUCACAGCUAAAAACCAAAAACACCAGUGGAAUGAGGAGGUCCAGAUCUAUAGGAGUCGGUUAUGUAUGCCACUCUUGCGAACGUACAUGCAC